UCCUAAGGCUAAAUACUCUCUAGUGACCGAUAGUGAACCAGUACCGUGAGGGAAAGGUGAAAAGCACCCCGGAAGGGGAGUGAAAUAGAACCUGAAACCGUGUGCUUACAAGUAGUCAGAGCCCGUUAAUGGGUGAUGGCGUGCCUUUUGUAGAAUGAACCGGCGAGUUACGAUUUGAUGCAAGGUUAAGCAGUAAAUGUGGAGCCGUAGCGAAAGCGAGUCUGAAUAGGGCGUUUAGUAUUUGGUCGUAGACCCGAAACCAGGUGAUCUACCCUUGGUCAGGUUGAAGUUCAGGUAACACUGAAUGGAGGACCGAACCGACUUACGUUGAAAAGUGAGCGGAUGAACUGAGGGUAGCGGAGAAAUUCCAAUCGAACCUGGAGAUAGCUGGUUCUCUCCGAAAUAGCUUUAGGGCUAGCCUCAAGUGAUGAUUAUUGGAGGUAGAGCACUGUUUGGACGAGGGGCCCCUCUCGGGUUACCGAAUUCAGACAAACUCCGAAUGCCAAUUAAUUUAACUUGGGAGUCAGAACAUGGGUGAUAAGGUCCGUGUUCGAAAGGGAAACAGCCCAGACCACCAGCUAAGGUCCCAAAAUAUAUGUUAAGUGGAAAAGGAUGUGGCGUUGCCCAGACAACUAGGAUGUUGGCUUAGAAGCAGCCAUCAUUUAAAGAGUGCGUAAUAGCUCACUAGUCGAGUGACACUGCGCCGAAAAUGUACCGGGGCUAAACAUAUUACCGAAGCUGUGGAUUGUCCUUUGGACAAUGGUAGGAGAGCGUUCUAAGGGCGUUGAAGCAUGAUCGUAAGGACAUGUGGAGCGCUUAGAAGUGAGAAUGCCGGUGUGAGUAGCGAAAGACGGGUGAGAAUCCCGUCCACCGAUUGACUAAGGUUUCCAGAGGAAGGCUCGUCCGCUCUGGGUUAGUCGGGUCCUAAGCUGAGGCCGACAGGCGUAGGCGAUGGAUAACAGGUUGAUAUUCCUGUACCACCUAUAAUCGUUUUAAUCGAUGGGGGGACGCAGUAGGAUAGGCGAAGCGUGCGAUUGGAUUGCACGUCUAAGCAGUAAGGCUGAGUAUUAGGCAAAUCCGGUACUCGUUAAGGCUGAGC
rnacentral:rRNA from 1 species